AUACGUAGGUGGCAAGCGUUGUCCGGAAUUACUGGGUGUAAAGGGCGUGUAGGCGGAGCGGCAAGUCAGAAGUGAAAUCUCUGGGCUCAACCCGGAAACUGCUUUUGAAACUGUCGCCCUUGAGUAUCGGAGAGGCAGGCGGAAUUCCUCAUGUAGCGGGGAAAUGCGUAGAUAUUAGGAGGAACACCAGUGGCGAAGGCGGCCUGCUGGACGACAACUGACGCUGAGGCGCGAAAGCGUGGGGAGCAAACAGGAUUAGAUACCCUGGUAGUCCACGCCGUAAACGAUGGAUACUAGGUGUGGGGGGACUGACCCCCUCCGUGCCGCAGUAAACACAAUAAGUAUCCCACCUGGGGAGUACGACCGCAAGGUUGAAACUCAAAUGAAUUGACGGGG
rnacentral:rRNA from 1 species